CUACCAUUAGGUGGUAGUUACCCCCACCACCGUUACCCUCGGAUUGCAUUUAGAUUGGUGCUAAUAUUAACGGGUUGCUGGCGAAAAAAGGUGGAUGCAGCUGCCCCGCUCGAGCUGUUAGUUGAAGUCCCUAUUUUCUUGGCUAUAAAAAUGGUAGAUUAGAGGGGACCGUGCCCACAAGAUCAUUGGUUUGUUGACCAGUUUUCUAUAUCGACGCCAAGAAGUAUAUACGGCGGCGGUGGUCCGGCGGCGAUGUUGCUGCUCCAAAUCAGGUGCGGCGGCGGAGAAUGUGAAUUAGUAAUGACAAAGAGAUGUGAGAGCGCAUACUCAUCUGAGAGUUUGCCGGCGACGCGAGACCAAGGAUGUGAAGCGUGGUAAUUUACAAGGAGCAUCCCACAUGAGAUUGCUCCCGCACGGCGGCGGCAAUAACGAUGUACAACUGCUCACAGCUGAUAGGUAACUGGUUGACUGUCCUGGCGCGGUGGCGGGCAUGGCGACAUAAAUGACACACAACGGAGUGCUACUGCUCCGUCGUGGCGGCAACGUACGGUUGCAAUAGAUAUGCUGGCACAACAAACUCCAUAGUGAGACAACGUGUUAGAACAUGGCCACAUGCAACGAUGGAGGAAGACAAUAGUGUAUAUGAUGAAUCAGUUGUACCAUUUUGCACAUUGAUGUGAUAUACUAAGAGAUAUACUUCAUACUAUGCUUUUUUUAGUUUGAA